GGACGUUGUAGCCUGCGAUAAGCCUCGAGGAGCUGGCAAACGAGCUGUGAUCCGAGGGUGUCCGAAUGGGGAAACCCGGCUGGAGUCAUGUCCAGUCACCCACGUCUGAACACAUAGGGCGUGUGGAGGGAACGCGGGGAAGUGAAACAUCUCAGUACCCGCAGGAAGAGAAAACAAGAGUGAUUCCGUGAGUAGUGGCGAGCGAAAGCGGAUGAGGCUAAACCGGUCGCGUGUUCAAGCGGACAGGCGUUGCGUGGUCGGGGUUGUGGGACCCUUCUGAUCCAACUGUUCUUGGGUCGGGGAGUGAGAAAAUCGCGUCAUAGUCGAAGGGCCUUGAAUGGUCUGGCAUAGAGGGUGGUACCCCCGUAGACGAAAUGGCGUGGUCUCCUGAGGGUGUUCCCGAGUAGCACGGGG
rnacentral:rRNA from 1 species